rnacentral:lncRNA from 1 species
UCUCACUCUCUCUAAAAUAGAAAAUUCGCCGUCUCUGAUCGAUCCACCUACACUAGCUCGUCAACAACAACAACUGCACAAAUUAAUUUAAGCGUUGACCCCACAUCGCGGAUGCCCAGGGUUGUAAGUCUUCAGAUUAGAAUAUGCUGAUGAAAUCAACCAGAAAAAUGGUACUUGCAGGAUUUGCAGGAAAACUGGCAAAUUAAUUUAAGCACAGAUUUGCAGGAUUAAACUCCAUAAAUUCAUCAAAGUCAAGG